UCAGCUGAUUAAAGUAAUUUUAGAGAGAAAAGCACGUGGGGUUGGAAGCCCUGGCAUUGUCAACAGGCCAGUGACUUUCUUUAAUCCAAGGUGAGAAAGGUGAAUAGUAAGGUUAGAGCAACAGGCAUGAGAGAAGCAUCCACACAGCUCUGGUGUCACCAGCUUUCAGAUCCCCUUGAGCACAAGCAGACCAAGAGGAAGAUUGGACAAUUCCAACAGGGAGGUGACUCUCUUUCUCUUACAUAUGAGGGAAUAUGGCAACUACUGCCCAGGAGGUUAAGACUUGGCUGAGGCUGGAGAGGAAAAAGUGAGGCUCCUGGCCAGAGACAGAAAGGGAAAGGCACAAGUUUAGUCUGGCGAACACAACCCAGGUUGAGAAUAGGGAGCAGGGAGGCAGCAGCAGCAGGAGGAAGAAAGCCCACACCACAUAUCUGGACUCACGGACACCUGGG